UCGUUUUGUGGCAUUUCUUUUUUUUAAAAUGAAUUUUUUUUGUGAAAAAAACGGAAAAUAAAUAAACCAUAAAAUGACAGAUAUUUCAUUUAGGCAUCAAUUUUUAAGUGUACAAUUUAUAUACAAACCAACUUCCAGACAAAUUUCUACAAACUUAAUUCUAUCUACGAAUCCAUUUUUUUUGCAAAUGAAAAAACUUCAAUUUUCACCGAUUUCUUUUUUUGCCCAGAACUAAUUUGAUUUUGAAUUGCAUCACAUCCGAAGUGUAUUUGCUAUGCGGACGACCUGACAAUGAUUUUUCUGGUAGACCUUUGCAAACAAUUGAAUAAAUAAAAAAGACUCUGAGCCUUCUAGAAAACUUUUCAAAAUGUUCUGCACUGUAAAUGAAUGUGGAAAAAACAGAAAUUAUAGGUGAAUACAGUGAUCUAAUCGAAAGAUUUUGGCCACCCUUCCACACUACAAUGAGCACAAAAUUGCUAGGAUCUUGGAUUGGAGAUGAAUGGAUGGAAAAAAACAUAUAAGAAAUUAGGUCUAAGUUUGGGCAAACUUAUACUUUUUCCCCAUCUUUUAAGCUCAAUACCUGGAAGAGAGUUCGAGCUGUGAAGUCAUACAGUCUCAUAGCGGAAAAGUGGCUAAAAUAUCGAAUACUCUCCGGUACUCUCGAAGUGAGAGCAAAGUAUUUCACUGGUAAUCAACGUAUGUGUUAUUUCUGCUAGAUGGAGGAUGAAACAAGCGACAAUUUUCUUUUCGACUGCACAACACUUAAGCCAUUGUAUAUAGAGAUUGGAAGCAUUUUAAACGAAAAUUUUAACUUUUAUCGCCCAAAGCGAGACGAUUACAUAGCAUUUACAUUGGAAAAGAAGAAAAUAUGUUUAAAGCCAUUAUCUCCAAGGACCAACAAGUUUUAUACGCAAAGAGAAGCUCUUCAACUGCAGAUAUAUCUGGUGUUUUAUCGAUGGUGAAACUUCAUAUCCAAGUUUUAAAAAAGACAAUUUAAUUUUUUAUCUAUUAACUUUUUUCAAUAAACAAUAUCUUUACUUGAACAUUUCUCAAAAAAUACUUUUAUAUCGUUUAUUAAUAAAAAACGUAAACAUCCUACUGAAUCAAUAAACGAUAUAAAACACUUUUAUAUCGUUUAUUGAUUCGGUUGGAUGGAUAUUUUUGUUAUUAUAUUAAUGUUAAAUUAUUAACUAUUUAUUGAAAUAGAUACACCUUGUGGCAAAGAAAAA
rnacentral:lncRNA from 1 species